UACGUAGGCAGCGAGCGUUGUUCGGAGUUACUGGGCGUAAAGGGUGCGUAGGCGGUUGUUUAAGUUUGGUGUGAAAUCUCCCGGCUCAACUGGGAGGGUGCGCCGAAUACUGAAUGACUAGAGUGCGGGAGAGGAGAGUGGAAUUCCUGGUGUAGCGGUGAAAUGCGUAGACAUCAGGAGGAACACCGGUGGUGUAGACGGCUCUCUGGACCGUAACUGACGCUGAGGCACGAAAGCGUGGGUAGCAAACAGG
rnacentral:rRNA from 1 species